rnacentral:rRNA from 1 species
CAGUAGCCACGGGAACACAGAGGGUGCGAGCGUUAAUCGGAUUUACUGGGCGUAAAGCGUGCGUAGGCGGCUUUUUAAGUCGGAUGUGAAAUCCCUGAGCUUAACUUAGGAAUUGCAUUCGAUACUGGGAAGCUAGAGUAUGGGAGAGGAUGGUAGAAUUCCAGGUGUAGCGGUGAAAUGCGUAGAGAUCUGGAGGAAUACCGAUGGCGAAGGCAGCCAUCUGGCCUAAUACUGACGCUGAGGUACGAAAGCAUGGGGAGCAAACAGGAUUAGAUACCCGCGUAGUCCCUGUCUCUUAUAC